rnacentral:rRNA from 1 species
UACGGGGGGAGCAAGCGUUGUUCGGAUUUACUGGGCGUAAAGGGCGCGUAGGCGGUCGUGACAAGUCACUUGUGAAAUCUCCGGGCUUAACUCGGAACGGUCAAGUGAUACUGUCGUGCUAGAGUACAGAAGGGGCAACUGGAAUUCUCGGUGUAGCGGUGAAAUGCGUAGAUAUCGAGAGGAACACCUGCGGCGAAGGCGGGUUGCUGGGCUGAUACUGACGCUGGAGGCGCGAAAGCUAGGGGAGCGAACGGG